GGAAUUGACGGAAGGGCACCACCA
rnacentral:ncRNA from 7 species